UGCAUACGAUGUUUAGAUGAUAUGUGCCUUCGGGAACCGUGAGACAGGUGCUGCAUGGCUGUCGUCAGCUCGUGUUGUGAAAUGUUGGGUUAAGUCCCGCAACGAGCGCAACCCUUAUCCUUUGUUGCCAGCGGUCCGGCCGGGAACUCAAAGGAGACUGCCAGUGAUAAACUGGAGGAAGGUGGGGAUGACGUCAAGUCAUCAUGGCCCUUACGACCAGGGCUACACACGUGCUACAAUGGCGCAUACAAAGAGAAGCGACCUCGCGAGAGCAAGCGGACCUCAUAAAGUGCGUCGUAGUCCGGAUUGGAGUCUGCAACUCGACUCCAUGAAGUCGGAAUCGCUAGUAAUCGUGGAUCAGAAUGCCACGGUGAAUACGUUCCCGGGUCUUGUACACACCGAAGG
rnacentral:rRNA from 1 species